ensembl:lncRNA
GAAGAAACUUAUUUUCCCCCCACUACACCUUGGUCAUCUCGGUAUUCCCAUGCAGUAAGAUCUCUUCAUUAAAAAACAAAGCUUCCAUUAUUGCCAAGUCAGCUUGUAGCAGGGUCGGAGAAAUAAAGAUUUAUUCCUUAUCUAUUGGUAAUAGUGUUUCCUAAAGUGCAAAACAGGGUACUUUUCAAGUCUGCUUCUUAACGUAGUUAAUGUGAGUCCACUGGUUGUGUGAAACCUUGUGCAUUUUGGCCCGUGCAGUAUUUCCGCGCAUGUUGCGAUAAGAACUGGCAGGACAUAGUCGUACCAUUUGCCUUAUUUCAUCAAGUCCUUUCAUCUCUGGCUCUACAACUUCAAAAUAUGAGCAUGGUGUUAUGAGCACUUUGAAUGUGUUGUGUGGUUUCUGAAGAGCAGAAAAAUGAUUUAGAUGAAUUCAAUUGCACAAAUGAGCACUUAAGUGCUUAAUAAAGUCAUCUAACAAAAUGAGAGGAGAGGCACCCUCCAUUCAUUAAGCCUUUUCCCCUUGAGGGAGGCUUUCUAGCCCCAAAAGCUGGAUUCAGUACAUUCCUCGGGACCAGUUGUGGCCUUCUGAGUUUUCUGCUUCACAACACGAUGACAAACAGGGGGUGGGUUUUGAUUUCAGCGUGCUUACAAAAAUACAAGGUGAGUCAAAAAUGGCCUUUUGGCACAUAGCCAAACUGCUGGAAUGACUCCAGGAUGCUCCUCCCCUCCCCCCCCACCCCCCCUCUUUGUAAACUGCAUGCAGCUAUCACGUGAGCAAGAAGGUCAAAUCUGUCCCCCAGCUCAUCAUUCAGUGCUUGCUUAUUUGUGUUUGUGAACAAAAGCAGCUCUGCAACCCCGGAACAAGUAGCACCACAGGUGUGAAGCAUCAGGGAGAAAUUGCACCUGCUCUGAUGCUGAUUUGGUGAAUACCUUUUGGCAUCUGACAAAAAAUACCACAGUCAAAUGGGAAACAGGCCCUCCAAGUGUUCUGUCUCUGCUCGUCUUUCUGGGUUUAUCUCCUCUGCUAAGCACUUCUCUGGAUUUCUAUGAAAUCAAGAUACUAUUUGGAGAGGAGAAAUUCAUUUGAGUCAGGUAGGUGAGAUGCAUUCAGGGCAGAUGCAGUCUUUAAUUCCAGUAUGCUUUUACAAGGAGCAUUUAUUCCUGAGGCACAAACGAGAUUCUGGAGAAGGGCCCCCAGGUAGAAUGAGUAGCAGGAAGGUUCCCCAGGCACCAUCUUCUUGAUAUACGUGAAGUAAAUCUGGAUAAAUUCUAUUUAGAACAGAACGACCUUCUGGGCUGCACCCUGCAUCUUGUGUGAGAUUCACGCAGUGCUGGAGUGGGAAGCAUUUGUUUUCUGUUAUUUACUUUAUACCAUUUGAUGUUUCUUCUUCGUCUUUGGUAUCACCCAUUCCAAAUGUUCCUUACCUCUGUGCAGUCCUCCUGGUGCUGUGGGAGUAAUACCUACCAGCUGUGCCCUUACUCCUCCUUCAUGCCCCGUUCAGCUGCAGCUGGAUCACACAGCUCUAACUCCCGCAGAGCAGCCCAAGCGUAAAACAGACUAAGGAAUAUUCCUGGCACUUGUUUGCUCUGGCCACGUUAGGAAGAUAGGAGAAGGGAAAAUGGGUCAUCCAGCUCAUGGAACAGAUGAGGUGGUGCUGGGAGAGAGAGGAGGGAAAGAAGGAAGGAAUGGAUUAUGAAACCAAGGGAAAGCUGAUGAAUGUCAUAAAAGUAUGAGCAGCAUGGCUACCCUCUGGGAACGUGAAGGCCUCAGAAGUACAUCUAUUGUAUGUUGUACAAGUAUGUGCCAAAUUAAUGAAUCAGUUUGAGAAGACAUUCUUUGAAGAGGAACUACUCAAAAGUAUAUAAAGAAGUUAAGGAAAAGUUUCUAGCUUAUUUCUAAACGCUUGUGGGAACUCCUGGCUGUUAUUACUCAAAACAGGCUCAAGACAAUUGCUACAGGACAAAGCAAGACAUGAGUGGUCCGGCUUUUUGGAGUUGGUGAGUGCAUACAACCGCUUUUCACUUGCUCCAGUAGAGGCUGUAGAUUCACAGGACUCCUACAAGACACACUGUUGAGAAGGAGCCUGCUGGCUUAUCCCGCUGGCAGAACAAGCUUCAUUAUGCCAAAGGAC